rnacentral:rRNA from 1 species
GCAGCAGUGGGGAAUAUUGAGCAAUGGGCGAAAGCCUGACGCAGCGACGCCGCGUGGGGGAUGAAGCUUUUCGGAGUGUAAACCCCUUUCGACCCGGACGAAAGCCCGCAAGGGCCUGACGGUACGGGUAUAAGAAGCCCCGGCUAACUACGUGCCAGCAGCCGCGGUAAUACGUAGGGGGCCAGCGUUGUUCGGAAUUACUGGGCGUAAAGGGUCUGUAGGCGGUGCGGCAAGUCGGAAGUGAAAUCCCAGGGCUCAACCCCGGGUCUGCUCCCGAUACUGCCGUGCUAGAGUGCGAGAGAGGCGGGUGGAAUUGCAGGUGUAGCGGUGAAAUGCGUAGAUAUCUGCAGGAACAUCCGAUGGCGAAAGCGGCUCGCUGGAUCAGCAACUGACG